rnacentral:rRNA from 1 species
AUAUCAGUCAUGCAUAGCAUAUCAAUAAGCGGAGGAAAAGAAACUAACAAGGAUUCCCUUAGUAACGGCGAGUGAAGCGGGAAGAGCUCAAAUUUGAAGUCUUCAAGGUUUUACCUUGACGAAUUGUAGUUUAAAGAAGUGUUUUCUGUUGAAGUUUUGGUAAAAGUUCUUUGGAAUAGGACAUCAUAGAGGGUGAGAAUCCCGUAUUUGACCAUUACUUUCAGCUUUGUGAUACACUUUCAAAGAGUCGGAUUGUUUGGGAAUGCAGUCCAAAAUGGGUGGUAAAUUUCAUCUAAAGCUAAAUAUUGGCGAGAGACCGAUAGCGAACAAGUACCGUGAGGGAAAGAUGAAAAGAACUUUGAAAAGAGAGUUAAACAGUACGUGAAAUUGUCAAAAGGGAAGCGUUUGACACCAGUGUUGUUUUCUCGAAAAUCAAUUAAAAAGAGUUGGAUUUUGUGUAGUAUUGACUUUAUCAGCUUUCUUCACUCUUUUCCAGCUUUUUUUAAUGCACUUUUCGUUUAACAAGUCAACAUCAGUUUCUUUUGUUGUAAAAAGGUCAUUGGAAGGUGGCUUUCUCUUCGGAGAAAGUGUUUAUAGCCUUUGACUCAUGCAAUCGGAGAGACUGAGGUCUGCAGCGUAGAUCCUUCGGGGUUAGAUACAUUUGUGCUAGGUUAUAGCUUUUCAUAGACAACUUGUUGACUAUGUUUAGUCUUGUAGCUUACUCGCUUAUGCUAUUUUACCUACGCUUAGGAUGUUGAACUCUAUCACACACAG